UGCAAUGAAAGAUCCUAGAAAUGGGUGUGUGU
rnacentral:piRNA from 1 species